AACAUAUCGGAUGGACUGUUGGUGUUUCGCCAUUCAAACGAGGAAGAGAACUCAAUAUGUAUUUAAUAACACAAUCUUAUUAAGUUGUAGUCAAAUGAUUAGUCGCAUCAGUCUCAACUAGGUUAAAAAGAAGCAUAACAAAAUGAAUCGUUCAGAAGAGGAGAUUUUAAAUGCAUGGAAUUUGGAAGAAGCCUAUAAAUACAUUGUGCAUGACGUUUUCCUGAUUAUUUAUUUCAUUGUUGGAGUAUUUGGAACGUGGUGGUUCUGAUUGUGUAUCAAGUAAAGCUUAAAAAGGAAAGUGAUAGUCGAUAUUUCAUUCCCAUUUUAGCAUUGGUCGAUCUUUUGGCAACCAUUUUGAGAGUGCCAUUCGAGCUUUGGAGAACUAUACUUCCUGUAAAUUUUCGAGACAUCAAUGCGUGUCGUUAUUUAUGGUUUGUUGUAAAUAUAUUUACCUUCGCAUCCAUAUACUUUCUUGGCAUUAUAACUUUACAGAGAUAUUUGAAAGUAUGCCGACCCUUUGGACCACAGCUUACUCUAAGAUGGCGUCGCGCAUCUCUUGUGUUUAUAUUCAUUCUAGCCGCUGGUACUGGCGCACCAUUUGUCAUUUGGGAUGAAAUCUUACCAAUACCAAAUUCUGCAUUGAAUGUCACAGGAUAUAUUUGUGGCGCAGACGUGUUUGAAGUAAAUGAAAACAGUGAUUAUAUCCUAGGUUUUAUCUUUUUUAUAUCUUUCGUUAUAACAUCUGUUAUGCUGGAACUUAUAAUUUUGAAUUCCCUAAUAGCUAGGAAAAUUUACACUAUCAUUCGGAAUACAAAUGCAAGAAGAAUACUCGACGAAGCCGGCAAGAUCAAACGUAUCGAAAGAAAUAUCCGGAUCAACUUUUUACGUCACCCAGGACGGAACUAGUAUUAACCGAGGCAAAUUCAACAGAUUUUUCACUCACUAACAAUGAACAAGAAAUACGCAAAGAAAAAUUAGUGGUUCCUCUGUCAAAUUAUUCCAAACCAAUCAAAUCAACAUCUGAAAAUCAAGAGCCAGCAUCCUCAAGAAAAUUUUCGUAUAUGUUUAUGGUUAUAAGCUUGGCGUUCAUUCUGUCAUACUUACCACAAAUAUUUUUACUUUUCUCGUUGAUCAAUGAUCGUUAUUUUUGGAUCAAAAUUAGCCAGACAGAGACCAUUGUGUUUAAAUUUAUAGAUCACAUGACUACUGUUAAUAAUAUUGUUAACCCGUAUGUUUACGGAUUCUUUGAUCAGAAAUUUAGAGCGUCAGCAAAAACGUUGUGUUAAUCGAAUAAUGUUUAAUCAUGUUUAAAACUGGUUUAGCUAGUGUUGUGGAGUAUAUCAGGCCUUUCUAAAAAAAAACCCAGACACAAUAUAAAGUCAUGCCAAUAAAAGGAGAAGGAGAAGAUGUAAAUAAAAGUACAUCCCACAUAACUUGUGUAUUUACUUCUUUGCGAGUAAACAUUGAGCUGUUUCUGCUAUUACAACUUAUUGUCCACCAUUUUACACG
rnacentral:lncRNA from 1 species